AUGAUCCCAAACAGUUCCUCUCGCCAAAAGAAUGGCUUGGCUUGGAGAAAUUGGGAAGCUGCAGAUGCCACCAGCAACGAGCCCAGGAGCAUUUUUGAUUACGAACCUGGAAAGUCAUCCAUCCUUGAUAAUCCUACUCUGGCUCAGAAGUCCUUCCCGCCAUCUUCAGCACGGUGCCCAUCGCCCUCUCUGC